rnacentral:lncRNA from 10 species
GUUAAGAUAUGACUUGCUCCUCCUUGCCUUCUGCCAUGAUGUGAGGCUUCCCUAGCCACAUGGAACUGUGAAAUGUCCAGCUGUUAAGUGAAUUGGUAUGGUAUGGUGGCUAGUUCCAAAUGAAAUGGCUAAGCUUCACCCCUUUGAACACUCAACUUCUCAGGGAGUGAAAAUGCUGGAACUAGGAUUUGCAGAUCCAGAGACUAAAACGUGACUUUAAAUCAGACUGACUGCAUCUGCCCAUUUUGAUGGUGAAGACCCCGUGGGAAAGACUUUUUGAUAAAUGAACAGGCAUUAGUCUUAUGACAUUUCUCCAACAUCCUGCAGUCAUCUUGAUGGCCACACCUCACUUUUCUUUACUGUCUGCUACUCCUUUGCUUCACUAAAAGCAGAAAAGGUGAAUAAUUUUCAUUCCAAGUGUUGCUGGGUUAGGGUCUCCC